rnacentral:rRNA from 1 species
AUGCACGCUGGCGGCGUGCCUAAUCCAUGCCAGUCGAGCGAACGGACGAGAAGCUUGCUUCUCUGAUGUUAGCGGCGGACGGGUGAGUAACACGUGGAUAACCUACCUAUAAGACUGGGAUAACUUCGGGAAACCGGAGCUAAUACCGGAUGAUAUUUUUAACCGCAUGGUUCAAAAGUGAAAGACGGUCUUGCCGUCACUUAUAGAUGGAUCCGCGCUGCAUUAGCUAGUUGGUAAGGUAACGGCUUACCAAGGCAACGAUGCAUAGCCGACCUGAGAGGGUGAUCGGCCACACUGGAACUGAGACACGGUCCAGACUCCUACGGGAGGCAGCAGUAGGGAAUCUUCCGCAAUGGGCGAAAGCCUGACGGAGCAACGCCGCGUGAGUGAUGAAGGUCUUCGGAUCGUAAAACUCUGUUAUUAGGGAAGAACAUAUGUGUAAGUAACUGUGCACAUCUUGACGGUACCUAAUCAGAAAGCCACGGCUAACUACGUG